rnacentral:lncRNA from 1 species
GAAGGGAGGCAGGUCACAGAAGGUGAGAGGGCAUGGGAACGGAUGAAGGAAGGCAGAGAGAAUGAAUGGAUGCAGGUAGGUGGGGGAUUUGAUGAUGGGAAUAUGAGGAUGGGCUGACUACGGUUUUCUUUUUCCUUAAGGAAAAUACAGACAUGACCAUGAGCGAGAGGGAUGGAGUUAGGUCUGAGGUGAGAGCAGAGACAGUGUGGAAGAGACAGUGUGAAAAGAGAGGGUAAAUAUGGUAAACAAGUGUGGGAUUGCUAGGCAGUAUUGGGUGCCCAUGGGAGAUUUGUGGUCAUCAGUUUGAAGUGAGACCAGUCUUCCCAUUUGUGUGUUUUCCUUAAGCACUAUUCAGCUCUUAGGUGCAGGCCCAGAGUACAUGGAGAGUUGCUUUUAAGCAGUGUUGAAGGAGAGUGGAGUGAAGGGGAGUUACAGAUGUUUAUAAAGGAAUGAUGUUGAUGACCUUGGAAUCUAGUGUGGAUUAGAGGAAUAGUGAAGAUGAGAGGGUGAUGAUGGCGAAAAAGUGAAAGGUUAAGUUCCCUGAGGUCAGAAACUGAACUAAACCUGAUCUUCCAAGGUCCCAGCUCCCCAGGCUAGGUACUUUUCUGUUCGUAUGCUUAAGAAGGAAAUAGAUUUUUUCAGUUGCAAUAGCAAUAGCUAGUAACUGCUUUUUUUGAGGAUUUACUAAGUGCUGAGUGCUGAACAAGUAUUAAUCACAUUGUGUGCUGAAGACAACCACCCCUUUGAGUUGGAUGGAUUUAUUGCUCGAAACUGGGCCAAUCAAAGAUCAGCUUUGGGAAGUGCUCUUGAUCCACUUGCUGAUAAAAUACUUAUCAGUAUCUUAUAUGUUAGCUUGACCUAUGCAGAUCUUAUUCCAGGUAAGAACGCGUCAUGCGUACUUUUGAAUAGCACAGGGAAGAAUGACAUUAGUCAGCUUAGGAUUUCUCUUGAGAGACAAAUAAUUUUUGUUCCAAAAAUAUAGUUUUCAACUUUAAACUGUUUCCCUAAUUUUAAACUGUUGAACUGUUUUGUCAAACUACUUGUGGAUUUUAGAAUUUAUGUCCUUGUUUUACUAGUAAAAUCAGUUGCUUUCCUAGUAAGAUUGUUUAAAAUUAAAAUUGAAUAAAUAUUUCACAGUGCCAAUUCAUAUUACUCUGAAAUUUUUUGGUGAUACAUUAUGUAUUUUUAGUGCCUAGCUUUUCAAAAGCAAUUUAGUUUUCCUACGUUUAUUAUCUUUAUUAAUAUCGUUUAAUCAUAAGUGAGAACUCUGAAAUUCUGAAGAUGUCUAUAAAAUUUCACAUUAUGUAGACCCUAUUAUGCAAUUUUUAAAUCAUAUAUAUAGUUUGUACAUUAUAUGAAUACUUUUUCUGAUAAGAUUUCAUGAUUUUUUUGCUUUGUAUUUUGCAUGUGCUUUUCUGAUUGUUCAUUUUCUUCUUCAGUCGUAUUUCUCAGUUUUUCUCCCUCAGACCAAGUUAAACUGUUUUUUUCCCAAGAGCUAGGAAUCAUAUCUGAUCACACUGGGACUUCCCUUCACUGUCAGUCUAAGAGUUUGCAUUUUUGAGGUUUAGGAAAAGGGAAAAAAAAGGAAGAAAGAAAGAAAUUGUAUCUGAGAACAAAGAAGCUGCCACAUGGUCCCUCGGUAUCAUGUUAUUAUUGACACUUGGUAGAAAGAAGUAUAGUGGCAUUUCAGUCUAGUCUCCCCCAACUGGAAAUUAUUUUUCUUUCUGAUUUUUAGUCUUUUAAGUUCUCGUACCAAAAUAAAAAAUAAAUUGGACUAAUGUUUACUUUUAUGUGCUUCUUUGAAAGUUAGAAUUGAG